UGCGAGUCGUGAGUCUUAGGGACUCGGCGUACCGCUCAGUAACACGUGGGUAACCUGCCCUAUGCUGGGGAAUAACCUCGGGAAACUGAGAACAAUGCCCCAUAGUUCACCACGCCUGGAACGGUGGGUGGAUCAAAGCCCCGGCGGCAUAGGAUGGGCCUGCGGCGUAUCAGGUUGUAGGGGGUGUAAAGUACCCUCUAGCCGUCUACGCGUACGGGUGUUGGGAGACAUAGCCCGGAGAUGGAUUCUGAGACACGAAUCCAGACCCUACGGGGUGCAGCAGGCGCGAAAACUUGGCAAUGCGAGCAAUCGUGACCAGGGAACUCCAAGUGCAUCGGGUAAGACCGAUGCUUUCUUGACUCUUCAAAGGUCUUGGAAUAAGGGGUGGGUAAGGACGGUGCCA
rnacentral:rRNA from 1 species